GGGCGUAAGAGCUCGUAGGCGGUUUGUCGCGUCUGCCGUGAAAGUCCGGGGCUCAACUCCGGAUCUGCGGUGGGUACGGGCAGACUAGAGUGAUGUAGGGGAGACUGGAAUUCCUGGUGUAGCGGUGAAAUGCGCAGAUAUCAGGAGGAACACCGAUGGCGAAGGCAGGUCUCUGGGCAUUAACUGACGCUGAGGAGCGAAAGCAUGGGGAGCGAACAGGAUUAGAUACCCUGGUAGUCCAUGCCGUAAACGUUGGGCACUAGGUGUGGGGGACAUUCCACGUUUUCCGCGCCGUAGCUAACGCAUUAAGUGCCCCGCCUGGGGAGUACGGCCGCAAGGCUAAAACUCAAAGGAAUUGACGGGGGCCCGCACAAGCGGCGGAGCAUGCGGAUUAAUUCGAUGCAACGCGAAGAACCUUACCAAGGCUUGACAUGGGCCGGACCGGGCUGGAAACAGUCCUUCCCCUUUGGGGCCGGUUCACAGGUGGUGCAUGGUUGUCGUCAGCUCGUGUCGUGAGAUGUUGGGUUAAGUCCCGCAACGAGCGCAACCCUCGUUCCAUGUUGCCAGCGCGUAAUGGCGGGGACUCAUGGGAGACUGCCGGGGUCAACUCGGAGGAAGGUAAU
rnacentral:rRNA from 1 species